rnacentral:rRNA from 1 species
GCCAGACUCCUACGGGAGGCAGCAGUGGGGAAUAUUGCACAAUGGGGGGAACCCUGAUGCAGCGACGCCGCGUGAAGGAAGAAGUAUCUCGGUAUGUAAACUUCUAUCAGCAGGGAAGAAAGAGGACGGUACCUGACUAAGAAGCCCCGGCUAACUACGUGCCAGCAGCCGCGGUAAUACGUAGGGGGCGAGCGUUAUCCGGAUUUACUGGGUGUAAAGGGAGCGUAGACGGCAGCGCAAGUCUGGAGUGAAAUGCCGGGGCCCAACCCCGGAACUGCUCUGGAAACUGUGAAGCUGGAGUGCAGGAGAGGUAAGCGGAAUUCCUGGUGUAGCGGUGAAAUGCGUAGAUAUCAGGAGGAACACCGGCGGCGAAGGCGGCUUACUGGACUGUAACUGACGUUGAGGCUCGAAGGCGUGGGGAGCAAACAGGAUUAGAUACCCCUGUAA